CUAAUUCUUCUUGACCUCUCUGCUGCCUUUGACACCGUUGAUCAUGCUCUCCUUCUUCAAACUCUUCAAUCACUCGGUCUCUGUGACUCUGUCCUCUCGUGGUUUUCCUCUUAUCUUUCCCAACACUCAUUCAGUGUCUCCUUUUCUAAUGAUACCUUCUCCCUCAUCCUGUCUCGGUUGGAGUCCCCCAAGGCUCUGUACUUG